rnacentral:rRNA from 1 species
UACGUAGGGUGCGAGCGUUGUCCGGAUUUAUUGGGCGUAAAGAGCUCGUAGGCGGUUUGUCGCGUCGGCCGUGAAAUCUCCACGCUUAACGUGGAGCGUGCGGUCGAUACGGGCAGACUUGAGUUCGGUAGGGGAGACUGGAAUUCCUGGUGUAGCGGUGAAAUGCGCAGAUAUCAGGAGGAACACCGGUGGCGAAGGCGGGGUCUCUGGGCCGAUACUGACGCUGGAGGAGCGAAAAGCGUGGGGAGCGAACAGG